GACUGAUAUUAUUUAUGAUUUGAAAUCAUUUGUUAAGUAAUGUAAUGUGUACUUGUCAGUUU
rnacentral:tRNA from 1 species